rnacentral:lncRNA from 1 species
AUGUGGACAACAUCACAAGGAUGUCUGACAUACUCGCCAUCUUGCAGCCUUCUGCUCUUCCCCAUUUGCUUCUCAUCCAAUGUCCUGUCACAUGAUGACUCUGACUCCAGUCAUCAUCCACAGACUAUAUUUGGAGAAACUGACGUAGAGGACUCUGUUGGCUUCACGUCUCUAAAGGGUAAGAAAGGAGAUUUGAGCCCUUUUCUUGGAUUUAAAGGUCCUAGGAAAUGUAGUCUGUCGCCUGUCACCCAGGGGACAGUGGAUAACUCUCCUUACGUAUUGGCACCUCCUCAUUUCAUUGCUGCACUAGGUGCAGGGCACCUAACAUUAAGGUGUAGAGGACCUUAAUGACUAACCCAUGGCAGGUCAGGACCUCUGGGAUUUGUAGGAAGCUUUGACUUUGGACUCAGAAAACAGACUAGAACAUGGACCCUGAAGGCUACUGGUCGCACUGCAGAUUUUCUCUAGGGUGCCUCUUUUUUCUUAUGUAUACUGACCCUGUUCUAGUGUAGAUGAUCUUUAUUUGGUUCCCAAGCUGUCUUUACUCUGCAUUGGCCACCCAGUUCACAGGUGCCACUAUCCUCCUAUAAGACAACCCAAUCUUUUUUUUUUUUUUUAAAGAUUUUAUUUAUCUAUUCAUGACAGAUACACAGAGAGAGAGAGGCAGAGACACAGACACAGAGAGAAGCAGGCUCCAUACAGGGAACCCGACAUGGGACUUGAUCUUGGGUCUCCAGGAUCACACCCUGGGCUCAGGGCGGCGCUAAACCACUGAGCCACCAGGGCUACCCAAGACAACCCAAUCUUAUCUCUCCUUUUCAAGUCCUCUGUUGCAUUCCUGUUACUUCUCUGAUCAAGUCCAAAUGUCUUAGUGGAAAUAGACAGUCUUACAAAAUUUCACCCAAAUUGUGGCCUCUCAAAUCCAGGAAGAUAAUGGUCCCUGCCUGUUUCUCAUGUCUUAUUCCAAGUCUUUUUCUCCUUAUCUCCUACAGCACCCCCACCUGCUCAUAGUUCAUUGAUCUCUUUUUCUGCUCUCUGGUUUCAGAGCCUUUGUGGUGAUGUAGUCUCUGCCUGAAACACUCUUUACCCUGCUUUUCACCUCAUUAACUGUCCCUUACUUUUAAGUGUCAGUUAAAUGUUAUCUCCUCUUAGAAGUCUUUUCUGACCACUCUGUACAAAGCAACUCCAUGUUGCUUUUUUUCUUAGUACCUCAUUUUCUUGCAUUAGACCACUUACUGCUUUUUAUUAGUCUUUCUCUCCUAUUAGAUUGUAAGUUCCAUGAAGGUAGGGACCUUCUUGCUCAUGGUUGUAUCUUCAGUGCCUAGAAGCACUCAGGAAGUAUUUGUUG